GAUGAACGCUGGCGGCGUGCCUAAUACAUGCAAGUCGAGCGAACAGAUGAGGAGCUUGCUCCUCUGACGUUAGCGGCGGACGGGUGAGUAACACGUGGAUAACCUACCUAUAAGACUGGGAUAACUUCGGGAAACCGGAGCUAAUACCGGAUAAUAUAUUGAACCGCAUGGUUCAAUAGUGAAAGACGGUUUUGCUGUCACUUAUAGAUGGAUCCGCGCCGCAUUAGCUAGUUGGUAAGGUAACGGCUUACCAAGGCAACGAUGCGUAGCCGACCUGAGCGGGUGAUCGGCCACACGGGAACUGAGACACGGUCCAGACUCCGACGGGAGGCAGCAGUAGGGAAUCUUCCGCAAUGGGCGAGAGCCUGACGGAGCAACGCCGCGUGAGUGAUGAAGGUCUUCGGAUCGGAAAACUCUGUUAUUAGGGAAGAACAAAUGUGUAAGUAACUAUGCACGUCUUGACGGUACCUAAUCAGAAAGCCACGGCUAACUACGUG
rnacentral:rRNA from 1 species